rnacentral:rRNA from 1 species
AUUGAACGCUGGCGGCAGGCCUAACACAUGCAAGUCGAGCGGAUGAAGGGAGCUUGCUCCUGGAUUCAGCGGCGGACGGGUGAGUAAUGCCUAGGAAUCUGCCUGGUAGUGGGGGAUAACGUCCGGAAACGGGCGCUAAUACCGCAUACGUCCUGAGGGAGAAAGUGGGGGAUCUUCGGACCUCACGCUAUCAGAUGAGCCUAGGUCGGAUUAGCUAGUUGGUGGGGUAAAGGCCUACCAAGGCGACGAUCCGUAACUGGUCUGAGAGGAUGAUCAGUCACACUGGAACUGAGACACGGUCCAGACUCCUGCGGGAGGCAGCAGUGGGGAAUGUUGGACAGUAGGCGGAAGCCUGAUCCAACCAUGCCACGUGUGUGGAGAAAGUCUUCGGAUUGUAAAGCACUUUAAGUUGGGAGGAAGGGCAGUAAGUUAAUACCUUGCUGUUUUGACGUUACCAACAGAAUAAGCACCGGCUAACUUCGUG